AUGGCUCAGGAUGAACGCUGGCGGCGUGCUUAACACAUGCAAGUCGAACGGACUUACAUGAAGCCUAGCGAAUGUAAAGUUAGUGGCGGACGGGUGAGUAACGCGUGGGUAACCUGCCGUAUGCUGGGGGACAACAGUUGGAAACGACUGCUAAUACCGCAUAAGCGCACAGAACCGCAUGGUUCAGUGUGAAAAAACUCCGGUGGCAUACGAUGGACCCGCGUCUGAUUAGGCAGUUGGCGAGGUAACGGCUCACCAAACCGACGAUCAGUAGCCGGCCUGAGAGGGUGAACGGCCACAUUGGGACUGAGACACGGCCCAAACUCCUACGGGAGGCAGCAGUGGGGAAUAUUGCACAAUGGGGGAAACCCUGAUGCAAGCGACGCCGCGUGAGUGAAGAAGUAUUUCGGUAUGUAAAGCUCUAUCAGCAGGAAAGAAAAUGACGGUACCUGACUAAGAAGCCCCGGCUAACUACGUGCCAGCAGCAGC
rnacentral:rRNA from 1 species